UACGGGAGGCAGCAGUGGGGAAUAUUGCACAAUGGGCGCAAGCCUGAUGCAGCCAUGCCGCGUGUAUGAAGAAGGCCUUCGGGUUGUAAAGUACUUUCAGCGGGGAGGAAGGCGAUGCGGUUAAUAACCGCGUCGAUUGACGUUACCCGCAGAAGAAGCACCGGCUAACUCCGUGCCAGCAGCCGCGGUAAUACGGAGGGUGCAAGCGUUAAUCGGAAUUACUGGGCGUAAAGCGCACGCAGGCGGUCUGUUAAGUCAGAUGUGAAAUCCCCGGGCUUAACCUGGGAACUGCAUUUGAAACUGGCAGGCUUGAGUCUUGUAGAGGGGGUAGAAUUCCAGGUGUAGCGGUGAAAUGCGUAGAGAUCUGGAGGAAUACCGGUGGCGAAGGCGGCCCCUGGGACAAAGCUGACGCUCAGGUGCGAAAGCGUGGGGAGCAAACGAGGAUUAGAUACC
rnacentral:rRNA from 1 species